UGAGAUACGGCCCAGACUCCUACGGGAGGCAGCAGUAAGGAAUCUUCCCCAAUGGACGAAAGUCUGAUGGAGCAACACCGCGUGCAGGAUGACGGUCUUCGGAUUGUAAACUGCUUUUAUAGAUGAAGAUUAUGACGGUAAUCUAUGAAUAAGGACCGGCUAACUACGUGCCAGCAGCCGCGGUAAUACGUAGGGUCCAAGCGUUAUCCGGAAUCACUGGGCGUAAAGCGUGCGUAGGUGGCGUGUUAAGUGUGGUGUUAAAUCGUGGGGCUCAACCCUGUCGAUGCAUCACAUACUGGCACACUAGAGGACGGCAGAGGCAAGUGGAAUUUGUAGUGUAGCAGUGAAAUGCGUAGAGAUUACAAGGAACGCCAAUGGCGAAGGCAGCUUGCUGGGCCAAUCCUGACACUGAGGUACGAAAGCGUGGGGAGCGAACAGGAUUAGAUACCCUGGUAGUCCACGCCGUAAACGAUGCAUACUAUUUAUUUGGGGUAUCGACCCCCUGGGUAAAGUAGCUAACGCGAUAAGUAUGCCGCCUGGGAAGUACGACCGCAAGGUUAAAACUCAAAGGAAUUGACGGGGACCCGCACAAGCGGUGGAUGAUGUGGUUUAAUUUGACGAUACGCGAAGAACCUUACCGAGGCUUGACAUCCUAGGAACCCUGUAGAAAUACGGGGGUGCCCUUGGGAGCCUAGUGACAGGUGCUGCAUGGC
rnacentral:rRNA from 1 species